GAAGUCUUUCAGCAGUAAUUUCAAUUAGGAGCUGAGUGACAAUAUACCUGAGCAUGAACAAAUCCUAUGAAGGCUCGCUUUCUCUAAGGCUUCACGGCUCUUUCCUAAUUGUAAGGCUUCUAGCACAUCUACUCAUCUCCAUUUUCUCUGGUUUUGUUCCUGCUCUGUGCCUUUACACUGUCCCAUGUGUGUUCCUCAGCUGUGCAUGGAGCUCCUCAAGCUCUGCCAUGGAGUCUUUAAGGUUCUUUGUUCCAUUUAAUGCUUUGGAAAAGCUGUGAUGUCACAAAGCAGUGAACUCAAACUCAACAGGCAGUGAAGAACUGCUGCCAAGUGUCAUGGUUUGAUUAUUUACCUCAAGAGGACUUGGAGAACCUCGGAUUUUGGCAUUUUGCAGAUUAUUUACCUAGUGGCUGAUAUGGGGAAGAGCUCUGAUUUCAUCCCAAGCCGAUUGUUUCAGGCCCAGCUGAAGCUGAGCUGUGUGUUCAUUCCCAGAGCCUGGUGCAGGAAGAUCCAUCACAAACUCACACACAGCAGAGGAGAGGCAGACAUGGGGAAGAACACUUCAAAGAACAGCAGAAAAUUGGAUUACAGAGGACUCUUUUGGAAACAUUUCCCUGACCAGUGCACCCUUGAUUCCAGCCCUGGGCAGCCUCUGGAAGCAGUGAGUGGAAGAUGGCAACCUGUGAUGGAGCUGUGGUGAAGCUGCAGCUCUUCCAUCUGAGCCCAGGCUCUGCACUGUCACCUGUCUCUUAUCUUGGACUUUUGGUUUCUAAAUCCCAGCUGGUCUCAGGUGAGCCAGGUUUAGUCACAGCCCAACCCCUCUCCAAGCCCUGCUGACGUCCCAGUCUGGCCUCCUACCACAGAGGCUGCCACACAAGCAAACAAAAGUAGGUCACUCAGCUGUCACAAGCAUGAGAAAACAGUUCUGCCAGCAUAGAAAAUGUUUGCAGUUGGGGUUUUAAACUUUGUUAGAUUGCUGCAUACAAAGCAACAAAUUAAAAAUAAUUUAAAAAAAAACAAACAACCCCCCCCUAAACUGGCAAGUAAUGCGACCAAGAGACUUCUUGGGUUUCAUUGAAUAUUUUAAUGAGCUUUCUUAACUCUGAGAGAGGGAAAGCAAAGAUAUAUUUCCCCAAGAUCCUUAGAGAGAGCCCAGAGCAUUUCCAGUGGAAAGUACCAGUCUAGGAAUCACUCCCUGAGGUGCACUUAGGAAGACUUGCUUGGACUGACAUCCUGGAAGUUGUCUGGGGAUGAAGAGAUCUGAGGUCAGAGAGGCUGAUUUGGGUAAGGAAGUGUUUUGAAAUUCUGCUUUUGGGAAACUAUCCACAGCUGGCUAAAUAUGAACCUCUAUUUCUGUUAUCAGAAAUAAUUAGGAUUAAUAACCCUGUCUUCAGGCCAUUACUUUAUCUCUCACUGCUGCUUAUUUCAGAUGCUGGAAUUUCAGUCCAGUGAUUUGUCAGGCAGAGUUUAUUAAACAGAAAAUGGUUUAUAAAUGUGCUAUGAAGGCAGGCCAGGAGCACAAGCACUGUGUGGGUGUGGGGAUUGGAUUGGCUCUCAGUUUUGCUACAGAUUCAUAUUUCAGACUCUGAAAAGCUUUAAAGCUUCUCAAAUUUGAUUCAGGUCUUUAUAGAGUGUGUAGAAAGGUGUCCAUCUUGCUUCAAGAGAGGGAGGAGAGAAAGAAAACCUUUUUAAAUUGGAAUGUUUAUUGAGCUCCC
ensembl:lncRNA